rnacentral:rRNA from 1 species
UACGUAGGGUGCAAGCGUUGUCCGGAAUUAUUGGGCGUAAAGAGCUCGUAGGCGGUUUGUCACGUCGGCUGUGAAAACCCGAGGCUCAACCUCGGGCCUGCAGUCGAUACGGGCAGACUAGAGUAUGGCAGGGGAGACUGGAAUUCCUGGUGUAGCGGUGAAAUGCGCAGAUAUCAGGAGGAACACCGGUGGCGAAGGCGGGUCUCUGGGCAACAACUGACGCUGAGGAGCGAAAGCGUGGGGAGCGAACAGG